GUGGGGAAUAUUGGGCAAUGGGGGAAACCCUGACCCAGCGACGCCGCGUGAGGGAAGACGGCCUUCGGGUUGUAAACCUCUUUUGUACGGGAAGAAGGAAGUGACGGUACUGUACGAAUAAGUCCCGGCUAACUACGUGCCAGCAGCCGCGGUAAUACGUAGGGGACGAGCGUUGUCCGGAAUUACUGGGCGUAAAGGGCGCGCAGGCUGUGCUGCAAGUCAGCUGUGAAAUGUCUGGGCUUAACCCGGGCAUGCGGUUGAGACUGCAGUGCUGGAGUGCUGUAGAGGCAAGUGGAAUUCCCAGUGUAGCGGUGAAAUGCGUAGAUAUUGGGAAGAACACCGGUGGCGAAGGCGACUUGCUGGGCAGCAACUGACGCUGAGGCGCGAAAGCCAGGGGAGCAAACAGGAUUAGAAACCCGAGUAGUCC
rnacentral:rRNA from 1 species